rnacentral:snRNA from 1 species
GGAUGUGAGGGCGAUCUGGCUGCGACAUCUGUCACCCUAUUGAUCGCCAGGGUUGAUCCGGCUGAGCUGGCUGGCUAGGCGGGUGUCCCCUUCCUCCCUCAACGCUCCACGUGCGUCCCUCCCGAAGCUGCGCUGGGUCCAAGAGGACGACCACCCCUGAUAGAGGAGGACCGUUCCUCGGUCAAGGGUAUAGGAGUAGCUGCAUUCCUCUUCCGGAACCUCCAAACCAGCUCUCUAGAUUACCUGUGGCCUUUGGUGUGUCUCUCCCCAGAAGCAAUGAAGAAAAGCAGGCUGAA